rnacentral:misc_RNA from 1 species
GAUGAAGAACGCAGCGAAAUGCGAUACGUAAUGUGAAUUGCAGAAUUCAGUGAAUCAUCGAGUCUUUGAACGCACAUUGCGCCCCCUGGUAUUCCGGGGGGCAUGCCUGUCCGAGCGUCAUUGCUGCCCUCAAGCACGGCUUGUGUGUUGGGCCCCGCCCCCCGGCUCCCGGGGGGCGGGCCCGAAAGGCAGCGGCGGCACCGCGUCCGGUCCUCGAGCGUAUGGGGCUUCGUCACCCGCUCCGUAGGCCCGGCCGGCGCCCGCCGGCGACCCCCCUCAAUCUUUUCAGGUUGACCUCGGAUCAGGUAGGGAUACCCGCUGAACUUAAGCAUAUCAAUAGCGGAGGA